rnacentral:rRNA from 1 species
UUUAUUUGGAGAGUUUGAUCCUGGCUCAGAACGAACGCUGGCGGCGUGCCUAACACAUGCAAGUCUACGAGAAGUCUGUAGCAAU